UACGUAGGGUCCGAGCGUUGUCCGGAAUUACUGGGCGUAAAGAGCUCGUAGGUGGUUUGUCGCGUUGUUCGUGAAAACUCACAGCUCAACUGUGGGCGUGCGGGCGAUACGGGCAGACUAGAGUACUGCAGGGGAGACUGGAAUUCCUGGUGUAGCGGUGGAAUGCGCAGAUAUCAGGAGGAACACCGGUGGGCGAGGGCGGGUCUCUGGGCAGUAACUGACGCUGGAGGAG
rnacentral:rRNA from 1 species